rnacentral:lncRNA from 1 species
CUUUUUAAUUAAGCAGUUGGAAUGAGAGUCAUCAAUUUUGAUUCCUAUUUCAGAUCUCAAUUUUCGUCCUCCCCACCCCAAGCAGACACCCUCUUAAUAUAAUACCAUGCAAUUGUAGCCAAACUACAGGAAUUAGACAACUCAUGGACUUAAACAAGAGUAACAUAAUUCGGGACAAUGAUGUGGCAACAGCCUAGUGCUUCACCC